CCUACGGGAGGCAGCAGUGGGGAAUCUUGCACAAUGCACGAAAGUGUGAUGCAGCAACGCCGCGUGCGGGAAGACGGCCUUCGGGUUGUAAACCGCUUUCAGUUGGGACGAAGGUUCACGAGUUAAUAGCUUGUUGGACUGACGGUACCUUCACAAGAAGCCCCGGCUAACUACGUGCCAGCAGCCGCGGUAAUACGUAGGGGGCAAGCGUUGUCCGGAAUCAUUGGGCGUAAAGCGCGUGUAGGCGGCUCGAUAAGUCUGCUGUGAAAGUCCAGGGCUCAACCCUGGGAUGCCGGUGGAUACUGUCGAGCUCGAGUCCGGAAGAGGUGUGUGGAAUUCCUGGUGUGGCGGUGAAAUGCGCAGAUAUCAGGAGGAACACCGAUAGCGAAGGCAGCACACUGGUACGUGACUGACGCUGAGACGCGAAAGCGUGGGGAGCAAACAGGAUUAGAUACCCUGGUAGUCCACGCCGUAAACGAUGGGCACUAGGUGUGGGGAGGUGUCGACUCCUCCGUCGCCGACGACGACGACAUAAGUAGCCCGCCCGUCGGGUAGGUUACGGUUCGUCGAAGAACGUAAAACUUAACAAUUAGAAGUUAGACGGCGNGAGACGNGCCGACGGACGACGACGAGGGGAGGAGGAG
rnacentral:rRNA from 1 species